UCAAAAAUAUGCAAUCUGUUAGUCACGAAAAGACUGUUUACGAUUACAUACAUUUGGAUGCUUUGAUAUGCACACACAUUACAGCACCCAAAAAAUACUUAUGGUAAAAAAAUGUGCUUACAUAUCACCAAAACAAACUUUUAUUUGGCAAUAUCUCCCAAAAUGUUUAUCAAAAUCCCUCACCUUUCGUUGGAGAGAAAGCAAGGGUCAUUCUGAGUGUUUAUCCUGAAAUACGUCACUCAAGCUGCACUACCUAACCAAAAAAAUAAAAUCUGUGUUACGUUUUGCCCUGCUCUGCCCUACUAACGUAAAUGUGGUAAAAAGCAACCGGUGUUGAAGCAAGGCAUGUACAGUGAAUCUACGUACUCUGGUAUCGAUCAACCAAUGGAAAUAUUGUGACACUAUGACAUAUUUUCAUUGACAGCCCCCCCUCAUUAACAUUUGGAUGAAAAAAUACAGAAAUACAGAAAUAUAUAUAUAUAUACAGACAUAAAUUAAUUUAAACAUAAAUAAGGAAAUAAAUAUAUACAGAAAUAAAUGAAUCAAGCAAUAAAUAAAUAUGGAAAUGAACAUCCACAGAAAUGAAUGAAUCAAGAAAUAAAUAUGGAAAUAAAUGCAAAUACCCAUUUGUCAGAUUUUGUCUAUUAAUUUAUUUCUGUGUACAUUCAUUUAUUUUUACAUUUUCUUGCUUUUGUAUUUAUUUAUUUAUGUAUUUAUACAUUAAUUCAUUUAUUGCGUCAUUUAUUUAUUUAUUAUUUUUAAAUUUUUGGUCCUCCAUAUACCUGUAGUACCAGUCAAUGGCAAUAAUCAGUUGUGGUGUUUCUCUGCAGCCAGUAGAUGGCGCUGCAGUGUAUUUCAUUUGCCGCCUUGGUUACAUUAUUAGAUGAAGAUUGAAUGUUUUUAAAAUAUAAAGAUGUUUGUAGACUGAAGGUGAGGUAAAGUACACCAUAGUGAUCAUACUAGUGCUGUUUCUUGUGUUUGCAAAUGAAAUAUGUUUGCAAUCAUGUUGUGUCCCAUGUGAUAUCACCGCAACAUGGAACAGUUUUGUUAAUGAAAUCCUUGCAGGAAGCCCCCAACCUUGAGUUGAAUUGGCUCCUUAUUUUUAGUUAUUUUUUGUUAAUUGAUAACCUUUUUUUAUGGAUUAGUCAGAAUACUUUAUGAACGUAAUUAAUAUAAACUCUUCCUGUUUUUGUGUGUACUGUGUACAUCCCAGGAAUGCACGUGCUGUACAAAUAGGAAAUUCCACAUUUAUCUGCUGCCAAGGUGCACAGUGUGACAAUUAGCAGUGAAUUUCAAUUGUGUGUGUGUUUGUGUGUGGUUGUAUGUGUGUGUGUUUGUGUGUGUGCAUGUGUGUGUGUGUGUGUCUGUGUGUGUGCGCAUGUGUGUUGUGUGCGGUUGUGUGUGUGUGUGUAUACGUGUGCAUAUUUGUGUGUGUGUGUGUGUAUACGUAUGUGUGUUAUGUAUGUGUUAUACUUAUGCGUGUGUGCGUGUUUAUGUGUUGUGUGUGUGUGUUUGUGUGUGUCUGUGUGUUGUGCGUGUGUGUGUGUGUAUACGUAUGUGUGUUAUAUGUGUGGUGUGUGUAUGUGCGUGUGUGUGUGUGUGCGCAUGUGUGUUGUGUGUGUAUGUGUGUGUGUGUGGUCUCUCCACAGGCUGGGUUGGUGUAAUCUCACAGAGGGCUGCUGUGAUGUUCUGGCCUCAGUCCUGCGCUCUCCUCACUCAGAGCUGAGAGAUCUGGAGCUCAGAGACAAUGAGCUGCAGGAUUCAGGAAUGAGAGCGCUCUCUGCUGGACUGGAGGACCCACACUGUAAAGUGCAGAGACUGGGGCUGUCAGGCUGUAGAGUCACACAGAGAGGCUGUGAUUCUCUGGCUUCAGCUCUGUGUUCAAACCCCUCACACCUGAGAGAGCUGGACCUGAGAUACAAUCACCCGGGAGACUCAGGAGUGAGAGCGCUGUCUGCUGCUAAACUGGACACACUUACACUGCUUGUGGACCAUGGAGGAGAGAACAGGACCAAACCAGGACCCAGGAAAUACGGCUGUCAGCUCACACUGGAUCCAAACACAGCGCACAGAACGCUGUCUCUGUCUGAGGGGAACAGGAGGGUGACACACACACUGGGGAGAGAGGAGCCAUAUCCUGAUCAUCCAGAGAGAUUUGAGUUCUGGCCCCAGGUUGUGUGCAGAGAGAGUGUGUGUGAGUGCUGUUACUGGGAGGCUGAGUUCAGUGUGUCUGAGAGGGGAGAGGUUUAUAUAGCAGUGACAGAUAAAGGAAUCAGCAGGAAAGGAUGGAGUUCUGACUGUAUAUUUGGACUGAAUAAAAACUCCUGGAG